UCCUGGCUCAGAUUGAACGCUGGCAGGAUGCUUACAUAAAGUCGAACGCCGCAGACUUCGGUCUGGUGGCAGUGGCGAGCAGGUGAGUAAUGUAUCAAGGACGUGCCUGGUAGCGGGGAUAACUACGCCAAAGAAAGCGUAACUAAUACCGCAUGCACGCCACACGCCCUACGGGGAAAAGCGGGGACCUUCGGGCCUCGCACUUUAUUAGAGCGGCCGAUAUCCGGAUUAGCUGAACUGGUGAGUAACGGCUCUACCAAAGGCGACGAUCCGUAGCUGGUUUGAGAGGACGACCGGCCACACCAGGACUGAGACCUGGCCCAGACUCCUACAGGAGAGCAGCAGUGAAAUUUUGGACAAUGGGAAACCCUGAUCCCAGCCAUCCCGCGUGUGCGAUGAAGGCCUUCGGGAUUUAUAAAACACUUUUAGCGGAAAAAGAAACAGCACAGGAUAUUACCCCGUGCACAGCUGACCGACACCAGAAUAAGCACCAGCUAAUACGUGCCAGCAACCGCAGUAGCCGUAAGUGCAAGCGGUAAUCGGAAUUACUGGAGCUACAAAGCGUACUUGAGCUGGUUCGGAAAAGAUGUGAAUCUAAGAGCUUAACUUUGGAACUGCAUUUUAACUACCGACUGAAGUGUGUCGGGGAAUUAAAUUCGGCGAUAGCAGUGAAAUGCGUAGAUAUGCGGAGGAACACCGAUGGCGAGCAGCCUCUGGAGAUAACACUGACGCUCAUGCACGAAAGCGUGAAACAAACGGGAUUGAAUGCCCUGGUAGUCCACACGCCCUAAACGAUGUCAACUAGCUGUUGGGGCCUUCAGACGCCUUGGUAGCUAACGCGUGAGGGAUUGACCGCAAAGUGCAAUCGCAGAUUAAGGAAACUCCAAAGGAAUUGACGGGGACCCGCACAAGCGGUGGAUGAUAAGUUAAUUCCGUGCAACGCGAAAAACCUUACUACCCCUUGACAUAUCUGGAAUCCGAGAGAUUUGGGAGUGUCGCAAGAAAACAGACACAGGUGCUGCAUAGCUGUCGUCAGCUCGUGUCGUGAAUGUUGGGUUAAGUCCCUCUUGAGCGCAACCCUUGUCGUGAAUUUACUACCGAAAACGCUCUAAUACAAGACUGCCGGUGACAAACCGGAGGAAGGUGGGAGAUAACUGUCAAGUCCUCACUUGGCUAUGGAGUAGGAGCUACAUCCAUACAAUAGUCCAGGACAAGUGUAACCGCGAAGGGCCCGAUCCCCCAGAAACCCGAUCGUAGUCGGAUCAUGAUCUACAACUCGACUGCGUGAAGUCAGGAACUAGUAAUCGCGAGAUCCAGCAUGUCACCCGGUGAAUACGUUCGGGUCUUGUACACACCCGUCACACCAGCCGAGAUUAGGUUUACAAAUGAAUUAGCCUAACCGUAAGGAAGGCGAUUACCACAGUGAGUUCAUGACUGGGGUGAAGUCGUAACAAAAUAA
rnacentral:rRNA from 1 species